ensembl:lncRNA
AGAUAAUUAUACUUACCUUGCAGAGUUGUCAGAAUUUGAAGUGUCUAGCUAUUAGGAAGGACAUAGUCCCCAAGCUCUUGAACUUGCUCUACAGGGAAAGAUUUUUUCGAUGGAAGAACAUGCUGGCAUCGUGUUGAUGAGGAUUCCAAUCUGCAUGGCAGACGCAGUCUCACUGUAACGCUCUGAAGCUCGAGGGCUGCAGGUCAUCCCAGGAAGGUGGAAGCUUUCUCCCCAUGGGGGUUUGAACCUCACAGAUCGGGCCCAAGGAGAAGCCAGCUGGGAAUUCCACCCUGUGUGAUACUUCACUCCCCUCAAACUUUUCUGACCUUUGUGUUGAGACAGAGUUUCACUCUUGCCCAGGCCGACCAUGAACUUUUGGGCUCAAGUGAUCCUUCUGCCUCAGCCUCCCACGUAACUGGGACUACAGGUGUGAACCACCCCAUCUGGUCCCUUUCUGCACCUUGAUAGGUUGUGCAUUACAGCUUUCCCUGUGUCUCGUGGUUUUUUCUCUUGGAGUUUUUAUUUUAAAAACAUUUCCUCAAGCAUUUACAGUGUGCCAGACACUAUUUUGAGACCUUUAUGAAUAACAAAUCAUUCUUAGACUGAGGUUUUGGGACCAAAGAUUGUGGACUUUAAAACUCAUUUUCUUUUUAAAUACCAAAAACACUCAGAAAAAAAGCUAACAAUAAGGAGGGCAAGAGGAAGGAAAGUUAUAAAAGAAAGAAGACUUCUCCAUUAAUUUCAUCUCUCCCUCUAGAAGUGGGACUGCUGAUAGAAGCUUGGUGUCUUUAGGUCUGGCACUUACAACUCACAAAUACAAAGUACAGUACUCUUGUCAAAGGUGUUUGGUUUUUUCCCCAACACCGCCUUGCAGCUGACCUUUUCCAUUGCUGAUGUCAGGUGCCCGGGGCAAACCCAUUGCUGUCCCCAGGGCAGAUCCACCAUGUCUGGGCUGGGUGGCAGCAGUUGGGAGAGACCCUUCAGGACAGGCCUGCUCUGUGCACUCCCUCAGGGAGGGCACGGAUCCACAUCCCGAGCCUUGACAGGCCGUGUCCAUCUUCUGGCUUUGUUCUGUACCUUAGCUUGGAAGAAACCUACCCAGGCCACACCAACAGCAAAGGAAAAAUACUCCUUUCUUUCUCUUAACUAACAAAAAACUAAUUCUUUUGCAAAUUGUUAAUUAAGAUGAGGGUAUUAUUACACUUACCCAAAUAUGCAAGCUCCAGUUUCAGCCCAGCUACAGUAACACUCUGGAGUGCUUAGUCCUGAUUUGCUUCCAGAAAACUAAAUACAGAUUGAGAAUCUCUUCCAAAAUGCCUUGGGUCAGAAGUGUUUUGGAUAUUGGAUUUUCUUGGAUUUUGGAAUAUUUUGUGCAUGUGCAUGUGUAAUGCAGUAUCUUGGGAAUGGGACCCAAGACUAAACAUGAAAUUUCAUUUAUGUUUCAUAUAUACCUUAUACACAUCACCUAAGUGGAGUUUUAUACAAUAUUUUAAAAUAAUUUUGUGCAUGAAGCAAAUAUCAUGGAGUGGAAUUUAGUGGCAUCAUGCCAGAGCUCAGAAGUUUGAAGAUUUUCAAAAGAAUUAUGAUGUUAUGUACAUGUUCCAGCUCCCCAUGAUGAAUGUAAUCAUUCUGUACUGCAAACAUGAACUCAUAAAAAUAAAAAUUAAAAGAAAGUUUUGGGGCUUUGGAGCAUUUGGAUUUCAGAUGUUUGGAAGGAAGAUACUUAGCCUAUACCAGUUUCCAUUCACUGUUGAUCUCUCACCCUACCCUGUCUUGAAUUGUGGGGAUUAUUUUUUUUUAAACUAAAAAAGGCAAAUCUAGGCUAAAUUGAAAAUGAUAUCUCAUUUUAAUUUGUACUUUUAUAAUGAUUAAGUGAACCUUUUUGCAUAUCUUGUUAACCAUUUUUAUUUCCAUUUUCAAAAUUAC